rnacentral:rRNA from 1 species
CCUACGGGGGGCUGCAGUCGAGGAUCUUCGGCAAUGGGGGCAACCCUGACCGAGCGAUGCCGCGUGCGCGACGAAGGCCUUCGGGUUGUAAAGCGCUGUCGAGGGGGAGAAAGGCCCGCAAGGGCGUGAUCUAUCCCUGGAGGAAGCUCGGGCUAAGUUCGUGCCAGCAGCCGCGGUAAGACGAACCGAGCGAACGUUGUUCGGAAUCACUGGGCUUAAAGGGCGCGUAGGCGGGCCGCCGCGUCCGGGGUGAAAUCCUCCCGCUCAACGGGAGA